rnacentral:rRNA from 1 species
UACAGAGGGUGCUAGCGUUGUUCGGAAUCACUGGGCGUAAAGAGCGUGUAGGCGGUCAGGUAGGUCGGUUGUGAAAACUGGAGGCUCAACCUUCAGAGGUCGACCGAAACCCCCUGGCUAGAGUCCGGGAGAGGGAUGUGGAAUUCCAGGUGUAGCGGUGAAAUGCGUAGAUAUCUGGAGGAACACCGGUGGCGAAGGCGGCAUCCUGGACCGGUAUUGACGCUGAUGCGCGAAAGCCAGGGGAGCAAACGGG